CCUGGUCCCUCCAAGGUCCGGCACAGAGGCCUGCCCAUGCCCCCCCCCCCCAGCAUUAUCCCUUGAUUGGCUUCAGGAAGGUGAUUCCAAACCCAGGCAGGUUGACAAUGAAGAUUAAUUAUGACAGCCUCCUACACCCAACCUGUGAAGAUCAAAAAUACCUCAAGAGGUUGCUAAAAUGCUCCCCAGAAGCAAGGACUGAAUCUCCUUUGGGAUCGGGUCAGAGAGCCAUCAGAACACGCUAUUGGGGAUGAAAGGCAACCCUAAUCGUUUUCUUACUGGCCCCACUUUCCUCAUCAGGAAAAAAGUGCACUGAUGCCUGCAGGAAAAUGAAUUUUCUUCAAGAGAUCACACAGGCUUCCAAGCAAGCAACCUGGGGUGGUGCUGCCACCUCUUGGUGAGUGGGUGGAAGUACAUCCGUGGGCGUGGUUGGCAAGCUAUUGCUACCUAGUAAGAGCCUCUCUAUCUCUGCCAGGGAGCCCAAGUAAAGGCCAGGCAGAGUGGACAGAAAUAGAGGAGUCAGCAAACACAGGGAAUUUUAUAUCAAUCAGUGGUGUUGAGAAGAAACCUGGUCUAGGUUCAAUUCGCCCCUUUUCCUGUAUCAUUAUGUAUCUCCGACAAGAAAAGGACACCAAGAGCGAUUUGCCCCACAAUAGCUGCCCUUGACUAGAUUGGUGGGCGUCCCAGAGGCUGUCCCCUCCCCCAAGAUUGGCCUCUGUGGAAAUCAGGAGGGUGGCGCAGCCAAUGGUCGCACCUAGAUCCGCCAUCUUCCCCAGAGGCCACGCCUCCUCCGCCCUUUCCCCAGUUACAGCUAGAAACUCAGCUUCAGUCCGUGAAGUCUACGAUUUCCACUUCAUCUAAUUCAUUUGACCCACUGCCACCUUCAUCUUAAGCCCGGCUUCCCUGGGACUGUACUUUAGUCUUCCAUGAC
rnacentral:lncRNA from 1 species